AGAGUUUGAUCCUGGCUCAGGAUGAACGCUGGCGGCGUGCCUAACACAUGCAAGUCGAGCGAUCUUCCUUCGGAAGAGAGCGGCGGACGGGUGAGUAACGCGUGGGUAACCUGCCUCAUACACAUGGAUAACAUACCGAAAGGUAUGCUAAUACAAGAUGAUAUAAGAAAUUCGCAUGGAUUUCUUAUCAAAGCUCCGGCGGUAUGAGAUGGACCCGCGUCUGAUUAGCUAGUUGGUAAGGUAACGGCUUACCAAGGCGACGAUCAGUAGCCGACCUGGGAGGGUGAUCGGCCACAUUGGAACUGAGACACGGUCCAAACUCCUACGGGAGGCAGCAGUGGGGAAUAUUGCACAAUGGGCGAAAGCCUGAUGCAGCAACGCCGCGUGAGCGAUGAAGGCCUUCGGGUCGUAAAGCUCUGUCCUCAAGGAAGAUAAUGACGGUACUUGAGGAGGAAGCCCCGGCUAACUACGUGCCAGCAGCCGCGGUAAUACGUAGGGGGCUAGCGUUAUCCGGAUUUACUGGGCGUAAAGGGUGCGUAGGUGGUUUCUUAAGUCAGGAGUGAAAGGCUACGGCUCAACCGUAGUAAGCUCUUGAAACUGGGAAACUUGAGUGCAGGAGAGGAAAGUGGAAUUCCUAGUGUAGCGGUGAAAUGCGUAGAUAUUAGGAGGAACACCAGUAGCGAAGGCGGCUUUCUGGACUGUAACUGACACUGAGGCACGAAAGCGUGGGGAGCAAACAGGAUUAGAUACCCUGGUAGUCCACGCCGUAAACAAUGAGUACUAGGUGUCGGGGGUUACCCCCCUCGGUGCCGCAGCU
rnacentral:rRNA from 1 species